rnacentral:lncRNA from 1 species
CGCGCAGGAGAUAGCAAGGAUUUCCUUGAGUGAAGUGAAGAACCUAAUCAAGUGGGAGCAGUCUUUGCGAAAGUAGGACUUGUGAGUAGGUACAUGGGUCUGUGGAAAAGGAAGAAAGAGAAUGGCCAGGCACCGUCCACUGUCAUGUCAG